CCUACGGGAGGCAGCAGUGGGGAAUUUUGGACAAUGGGGGCAACCCUGAUCCAGCCAUGCCGCGUGAGUGAAGAAGGCCUUCGGGUUGUAAAGCUCUUUCGCACGGGAAGAAAACUUAUGAUCGAAUACUUCGUGAGGUUGACGGUACCUUGAUAAGAAGCACCGGCUAACUACGUGCCAGCAGCCGCGGUAAUACGUAGGGUGCGAGCGUUAAU
rnacentral:rRNA from 1 species